rnacentral:tRNA from 1 species
AUAGAAGUGUCAGAAAAAGGUAUGAGUUGAUUUUAAGCGUCAAGUAUGGGCUUAAUGCUCCUUCUAUU